GGAUUGUGGCUCAGUGGCAGAGUGCUUGCCUCGCAUGUAUGUGGCACUGGGUUCAAUCCUCAGCACCA
rnacentral:tRNA from 1 species